CUGGAGCUUCGCGUGGACGAGUCAUCGAGGCCGGACGCUUGUGCGACUGCGAAGCAUCCUUGAAAGAACCCCCUUCUAAAGGUAUAGACCCAAAGGUUAUCAUCCACAGGCUAAGUGUGGACCCUACUCACUAGCCGAUUCGGCAGAAGAAAAGAAGUUUCGCUCAUGAAAGGCACACGACGAUUGAGGAGGAGGUAAGUAAGAAGAUUGAGAAAACUUCCUUUUGUUCUCUAAUAACUAUAGUGACUGAGGCAUCGAAGAGUCCCCUACCGAGAUACGUUCCGACCAGAAGAUUUCUUUGCUCUAUGUUGUUUUAGGUUGGAAUGCUGCUUAUGGGGACAUCAGCUAGGCCACCAUUUUAUUUGCAUGUUUAUUUUAUUAUUUUAUUUCUGGGCUUAUUUGUAUUUUAGGACUUAUUUGUGGUUUAUUUUAUUUCUGGGCUUAUUUGCAUUUUAGGGUUUAUUUGUGGUUUAUGUGUGUUAUUUGUGGGCUUAUUAGGAUUUAUUUCUGUGUAAGGGGGUUUAUGCAAAUUGUGUAUUUGGGCCCUAUAUAUAAGGAACUAUUUUCAUGAUGAGGUUUUUAAUGAAGGUUUAACAAUUUCUUCCCUA